GGCAAUGUAGCUCAGUGAUAGAGUGCUUGCCUAGCAUGCAAGACACUGGGUUCCACCCCCAGCAUCACAA
rnacentral:tRNA from 1 species